UCUCAUCAACUGAGGCACAAAUAACUUAGGCCCCAUUUGCAGCAACACCUCCCUUCGAGAAACAGUCAAAGACGUGUAGGUAUUGUACUACCUAGGAGAUGAUGGUUUUCGAGCCCUUCUCGGAAGACUCCGGGAUCGAUGAUUUCGACUCCCGUUAUUCCACCUCUGGGGCAGGGAUCGGGAGCGCUGGCGACUUUUCUCUUCGCACCUUGGAUGGUGCUCCUUAUUGGAUCCCGCCACGGUUGAAUCAGCAGUAGUAUCAUCGGCAAAGGCCUCUUUCAUGCGGACAUACUUCUCUACACGGACAAGCAUAUCUGGGAGAUCUCGAGGAUAAAUUUUAACUAACG
rnacentral:lncRNA from 1 species